rnacentral:rRNA from 1 species
UAGGGAAUCUUCGGCAAUGGACGAAAGUCUGACCGAGCAACGCCGCGUGAGUGAAGAAGGUUUUCGGAUCGUAAAACUCUGUUGUUAGAGAAGAACAAGGACGUUAGUAACUGAACGUCCCCUGACGGUAUCUAACCAGAAAGCCACGGCUAACUACGUGCCAGCAGCCGCGGUAAUACGUAGGUGGCAAGCGUUGUCCGGAUUUAUUUGGCGUAAAGCGAGCGCAGGCGGUUUCUUAAGUCUGGUGUGAAAGCCCCCGGCUCAACCGGGGAGGGUCAUUGGAAACUGGGAGACUUGAGUGCAGGAGAGGAGAGUGGAAUUCCAUGUGUAGCGGUGAAAUGCGUAGAUAUAUGGGGGAACAACAGUGGCGAAGGGGGCUCUAUGGUCUGUAACUGACGCUGAGGCUCGAAAGCGUGGGGAGCAAACAGG